UAGUCCACGCCGUAAACGAUGGUUACUAGCUGUUCGGAACUUGUUCUGAGUGGCUAAGCGAAAGUGAUAAGUAACCCACCUGGGGAGUACGUUCGCAAGAAUGAAACUCAAAGGAAUUGACGGGGGCCCGCACAAGCGGUGGAGCAUGUGGUUUAAUUCGAUGAUACGCGAGGAACCUUACCAGGGCUUAAAUGUAGUGCGACAGGGAUGGAAACAUCUUUUCCUUCGGGCGCGUUACAAGGUGCUGCAUGGUUGUCGUCAGCUCGUGCCGUGAGGUGUCAGGUUAAGUCCUAUAACGAGCGCAACCCCUGUUGUUAGUUGCCAGCGAGUCAAGUCGGGAACUCUAACAAGACUGCCAGUGCAAACUGUGAGGAAGGUAAGGAUGACGUCAAGUCAGCAUGCCCCUUACGCUCUGGGCUACACACGUGCUACAAUGGUCGUGACAAAGAGUUGCUAGUCUGCGAAGGCAAGCCAAUCUCAUAAACGCGGCCUUAGUUCGGAUUG
rnacentral:rRNA from 1 species